UAACAGCUCCAUUUCAUUCUCAUCUCAAACAAGAGAGACGGAGAGAGAGAGAGAGAGAUCUGAAGAAGGAGAAGCUGCGUUAAUGGCGAAACCACUGGGACCAACAGGAGAGUUCUUUCGGCGGCGGGAUGAGUGGCGGAAGCACCCCAUGCUCACCAACCAGUGGCGCCACGCCACUCCCGGCCUCGGCAUCGCUCUCGUCGCUUUCGGCAUCUACCUCGUCGGCGAAACCGCCUACAAUAAGAUUUAUGCCGCCCCCAAAUCUCAUGCUCACUCCACAUCUUCUGCUUCUCAUUGAUCCAAUGGCGACUUCCCCUAAUUGUGUAAGAUGAGCUUCGCCUUGGUGCCAAAUAAUGGAGUGUGGUUAUGUUUCUGUCUUCUCCAAUUUCAUGUCUGUGUCAACGAUGUACCCAGACAUGUUUGUUGCCUUCAGUCUGCUGAAAUUUGUAAAAGAAUUUAAGAGUAGUGUUUUUUCCUGUGGAUCAUCUCUCUCUUUCUCUCUCUCUCUCUUUCUAUAUAUAUAACUCGAGAAUUAAACUCUUGUGAGAUCUUAUGUAAAGAGUAGGCACGACUGUGUAACAAGAGCAGAUCAUGGUUGGAUUUUCAGCAGACGAUGUAGCAGAUAAACUCAAUCACAGAGGGGGAACCCUCCGCACC